rnacentral:rRNA from 1 species
CCUACGGGUGGCAGCAGUGGGGAAUAUUGCACAAUGGGGGAAACCCUGAUGCAGCGACGCCGCGUGAGUGAAGAAGUAUUUCGGUAUGUAAAGCUCUAUCAGCAGGGAAGAAAAUGACGGUACCUGACUAAGAAGCACCGGCUAACUACGUGCCAGCAGCCGCGGUAAUACGUAGGGGGCAUGCGUUAUCCGAAUUUACUGGGGUGAAAGGGAGCGUAGCCGGCAGCGCAAGUCUGAAGUGAAAUCCCAUGGCUUAACCAUGGAACUGCUUUGGAAAAUGUGCAGCUGGAGUGCAGGAGAGGUAAGCGAAAUUCCUAGUGGAGCGGUGAAAUGCGUAGAUAUUAGGAGGAACACCAGUGGCGAAGGCGGCUUACUGGACUGUAACUGACGUUGAGGCUCGAAAGCGUGGGGAGCAAACAGGAUGAGAUACCCCAGUAGUC